GAGAGGGAUGGGGAGAGGGAUCGGGAUCAUCGGGAUUCCAGCCGGGUCGGGAUCGGGAUCAGGAUCAUUGGGAUCAUUGGGAUCAUUAUCGGGAUCGCGAUGGGGAGCGGGAUUGGGAUUCCAACCGGGUCGGGAUGGGGACCUGGAGCGGGAUCAGGAUCCGGUCCGGUCCGGAGCUGGAAUCGAACCGGGGCGGGAUUGGGAUCGGGAUCGGGAUCGGGAUUUGGAUCAUGGGGAUCGGGAUGGGGAUGGGGAUCGGGAUGGGGAUGGGGAUCGGGAUCGGGAUUUGGAUCAUGGGGAUCGGGAUGGGGAGAGGGAUCGGGAUUCCAAACGGGUCGGGAUGGGGAGCGGGAUCCGGUCUGGACCGGGAUUCCAACCGGGACAGGAGUGGGAUCGGGAUCGGGAUUCUAACCGGAUCGGGAUCGGGAUCGGGAUUGGAAUCAGGAUUGGGAUCGGGAUCGGGAUCAGGAUUGGAAUCAGGAUUGGGUUCGGGAUCGGAUUUGAAGCCAGUCAGGAUUGGGAUCUGGUCCAGACCACGAUUCAAACCAGAUCGGGAUCAGGGAGACCCCAAAUUCCCCCAAAUUUUCCCCAAAUCCUUCGGGAAAUUCCCUCUAAAUCCACCCUAAAAUUUCCCCCCAAACCAUCCCAAAAUUAUCCCAAAAUUAUCCCCAAAUUCCCCCAAAAUUCCCACCGAAUCCACCCCCAAAUCAUCCCAGUAUUGCCCCAAAAUUAUCCCAAAAUUCCUCCUCAAAUCAUCCUAAAAUUCCCCAAAAAAUCCACCCCAAAAAUUUGGGAUUGCAGCCCCUGGAAAAGCCCCAAAAUUUGGGAUUUUGGGAUCCUAACGGGGAUUUUUUGGGAUUCUCCUUGCAGGCUCGGAUUUGGGAUUUUGGGAGGAAUCUCCCAAAUUUGGGGUGAGGAUGCAGGAGAAUUACGAGAAUGUCAUUUCCUUGGCCGAGGAAAUCGCCAUCAGUUGGCCCCGGAUCACCGCGUUCGCCGAAUCCCACCGGAGACGGGGGCUGGUGUCGGGUGAGUCGAGAAAAAUCCGGGAAAAUUCGGGAUCAAUUCCGUAGAUUUCGGUUAAUUCGUAAAAAAUUCUUAAUUCCGUGAGUUUUCCCGGGAUUUUGAGCGGAUUUCCCAGGAUUUUGCUGGGGUGGGAAUUUCGGGGAGUUUGGAUUUUAAAGGGAAAAAAAUGGAUUUUUAGGGGUUUUGGAAAUUCCCCCCCCCCCAAAAUUGACCGAAAUCCUUGGAAUUUCUGGGAAUCUUCUUUCAAUUUCACCAAAUCCUUGAGAAUUUUGGGAAUCCUCCCUAAAUUUCAACGGAUCCUUUGGGGUUCUUGGGAAUUCUCUUCAAAUUUUUUCGGGAAUUCCAUUUAAAUUUGACCAAAACCUUUGGAAUUUUCAGGAAUUCCCCUUAAAUUUGACCAAAAUCUUCAUAAUUUUCACCAUUUCCCCUUAAAUUUGACUGAAACCUUUGGAAUUUUCAGGAAUUCCAAUUAAAUUUGACCAAAACUUUUGGAAUUUUCAGGAAUUCCCCUUAAAUUUGACCAAAACCUUUGGAAUUUUCAGGAAUUCCCUUUAAAUUUAACCAAAACCUUUGGAAUUUUCACCGAUUCCCACAAAAUUUGACCGAAACCUUUGGAAUUUUCAGGAAUUCCCCUUAAAUUUAACCAAAACCUUUGGAAUUUUCAGGAAUUCCCUUUGAAUUUGACCAAAACCACCGGGAAUUUUCAACAACUCCACCCCGAACCCUUCAAAUCUUUCCCGGAACCCCCCCAAAUCCCGGUUUUUUUUGGGGGGUUUUAUCCCCAUUUUUCCCCCUCCCCUUUUCCAGCUACGGAAGCCGAGGGGGACCAGAACCACCCCGAGCCCCCCCCGGCGCCGCCCCCUCCCCCGGGGGGUUCCGGCGGCGGGGGAGGGGCGGAGCCGGAUCUGCGCCGGCAGCUGGGGCUGAUCCUCCAAACGGCCGGGAGGAGCCAGGUGGAAAAAAUGCUCCGGGAAUUGGUGCGGGAACAAGGCCAGGCCGGAAAACGC
rnacentral:lncRNA from 1 species